rnacentral:rRNA from 1 species
GACGAACGCUGGCGGCGUGCUUAACACAUGCAAGUCGAACGGAAAGGCCCUGCUUUUGUGGGGUGCUCGAGUGGCGAACGGGUGAGUAACACGUGAGUAACCUGCCCUUGACUUUGGGAUAACUUCAGGAAACUGGGGCUAAUACCGGAUAGAAGCUCCGGCUGCAGGGGGGGGGUGGGAAAGUUUCGGCGGUUGGGGAUGGACUCGCGGCUUAUCAGCUUGUUGGUGGGGUAGUGGCUUACCAAGGCUUUGACGGGUAGCCGGCCUGAGAGGGUGACCGGCCACAUUGGGACUGAGAUACGGCCCAGACUCCUACGGGAGGCAGCAGUGGGGAAUAUUGCACAAUGGGCGGAAGCCUGAUGCAGCAACGCCGCGUGCGGGAUGACGGCCUUCGGGUUGUAAACCGCUUUCGCCUGUGACGAAGCGUGAGUGACGGUAAUGGGUAAAGAAGCACCGGCUAACUACGUG